UCUCUAUAGUCAGUACUAACAUACACAUCAGAUAAAAGCCAAAUAAUACCAUUUAUUUCAGAAAUGAUAAUGGCAAUUUGCUGGAAUCAAUGAUGAAAGACAUCCAUCGUAGCAACACUAGUCCUCCAAAUAACUAUAAUAUCUUUGGCCAAACCUUGAGACUUCAGAGCACAGAACCUCCAAUUCAUCGAGAAGCAGCGGCGGGCACGAGCC
rnacentral:lncRNA from 1 species